rnacentral:rRNA from 1 species
GUGGGGAAUCUUAGACAAUGGGGGCAACCCUGAUCUAGCCAUGCCGCGUGAGUGAUGAAGGCCUUAGGGUCGUAAAGCUCUUUCGCUGGGGAAGAUAAUGACGGUACCCAGUAAAGAAACCCCGGCUAACUCCGUGCCAGCAGCCGCGGUAAUACGGAGGGGGUUAGCGUUGUUCGGAAUUACUGGGCGUAAAGCGCGCGUAGGCGGAUUGGAAAGUUGAGGGUGAAAUCCCGGUGCUCAACCCUUGAAUGGCCUUCAAAACUCCCAGUCUUGAGGUCGAGAGAGGUGAGUGGAAUUCCGAGUGUAUAGGUGAAAUUCGUAGAUAUUCGGAGGAACACCAGUGGCGAAGGCGGCUCACUGGCUCGAUACUGACGCUGAGGUGCGAAAGCGUGGGGAGCAAACAGGAUUAGAAACCCUGGUAGUCC